UCACUUACCUGGAUGGGAUGAAUGGGUGAUCAAUAAAGCUCAUGGUCUAGGUUUGUGACCUUCAUUGCACUUUGGAGGGGUGCUUGCCUAAGGUCGGCCCAAGUGGUCGAACCUACAUCAUAAUUUGUGACAGCGGGGGCCUGCGUUCGCGCGGCCCCUAU